GCUCGGGUGGCGAAAUUGGUAGACGCAAGGGACUUAAAAUCCCUCACCCCGAGAGGGGAGUGCGGGUUCGAGUCCCGCCCCGAGCA
rnacentral:tRNA from 1 species